UCCCUGGUGGCUUAGAUGGUAAAGAAUCUGUCUGCAAUGCAGGAGACCCAGGUUUGAUCCUUGGUCAGGAAG
rnacentral:tRNA from 1 species